rnacentral:rRNA from 1 species
AAUACGUAGGUGGCAAGCGUUGUCCGGAAUUAUUGGGCGUAAAGCGCGCGCAGGCGGUCCUUUAAGUCUGAUGUGAAAGCCCACGGCUCAACCGUGGAGGGUCAUUGGAAACUGGGGGACUUGAGUACAGAAGAGAAGAGUGGAAUUCCACGUGUAGCGGUGAAAUGCGUAGAGAUGUGGAGGAACACCAGUGGCGAAGGCGACUCUUUGGUCUGUAACUGACGCUGAGGCGCGAAAGCGUGGGGAGCAAACAGGA